GAAAGAUUCAUCGGAAGAGGAUGGGCAUGCGGCGCAUUAGCUAGACGGCGGGGUAACGGCCCACCGUGGCGACGAUGCGUAGGGGUUCUGAGAGGAAGGUCCCCCACACUGGUACUGAGACACGGACCAGACUCCUACGGGAGGCAGCAGUGAGGAAUAUUGGUCAAUGGGAGAGAUCCUGAACCAGCCAAGCCGCGUGAGGGAAGACGGCCCUAUGGGUUGUAAACCUCUUUUGUCGGAGAACAAAACCCGGGACGUGUCCCGGACUGCGUGUAUCCGAAGAAAAAGCAUCGGCUAACUCCGUGCCAGCAGCCGCGGUAAUACGGAGGAUGCGAGCGUUAUCCGGAUUUAUUGGGUUUAAAGGGUGCGUAGGCGGUCCGUUAAGUCAGCGGUAAAAUUGCGGGGCUCAACCCCGUCGAGCCGUUGAAACUGGCAGACUUGAGUUGGCGAGAAGUACGCGGAAUGCGCGGUGUAGCGGUGAAAUGCAUAGAUAUCGCGCAGAACUCCGAUUGCGAAGGCAGCGUACCGGCGCCAGACUGACGCUGAGGCACGAAAGCGUGGGGAUCGAACAGGAUUAGAUACCCUGGUAGUCCACGCAGUAAA
rnacentral:rRNA from 1 species